GAUGAACGCUAGCGGCAGGCUUAAUACAUGCCAGUCGUGGGGCAGCAGGAUUGUAGCAAUACGGUUGCUGGCGACCGGCAAACGGGUGCCGCACACGUAAGCAACUUACCCUGAACUGGGGGCUAGACCGGGGAAACCCGGAUUACUAACCCGAAAUCUUAUUGAGUGGCAUCACUUUAUUAUUAAAGCCCCGGCGGUUCGGGCUGGGCGUGUGGCUGAUUAGGUAGUUGGUUGAGGUAACGGCUCACCAAGCCUACGAUCAGUAACUGGUGUGAGAGCACGACCAGUCACACGGGCACUGAGACACGGGCCCGACUCCUACGGGAGGCAGCAGUAAGGAAUAUUGGGCAAUGGAGGCAACUCUGACCCAGCCAUGCCGCGUGGAGGAUGAAGGCCCUCUGGGUUGUAAACUUCUUUUAUAGGGGACGAAACCUGUGUAUUCUUACGCAGUUGACGGUACCCUAGGAAUAAGCACCGGCUAACUCCGUG
rnacentral:rRNA from 1 species